UAUAUACUCCCUCCGUUCCGAAUUACUUGUCGCAAGUAUGGAUGUAUCUAGAUGUAUUUUAGUUCUAGAUACAUCCAUUUCUGCGACGAGUAAUUUGGAACGGAGGGAGUAUAAU
rnacentral:pre_miRNA from 1 species